ACAGCUCUGAUCUGAGAGUGGUAUGAUUGUCGGCAACUUUUGGAGGAAGGAUCUGGAGAAGAUGUGAAAUUCUGUAUGAGAUAUUUGUUGUUUUGCAGAUUAACCUAACACAGAAUGAUACGGAAGUAUGUUUUACUUAAAAAUCAAAUGCAUAAAACCCGGAUUCAUCUUUACUCUCUACUUGUCUCAUGAAUGUGAGCCCUGGGACCUACGUAAAUGGUGAACUCUUAGAAGGCUAAGACCGUGAUAUUUUGUCUCUUCAAUAACACUGAUCAAGAUAGCAAC
rnacentral:lncRNA from 1 species